CGGCGAGGGAGCACUACAAAUUCAUGAACACUCGCGCACACGCAGGGAUAGAGACACGGGCAGGCACGCGGUGUGAACGAAAAGGGUGCUGGUGGAGGAGGUAGACGAUGGUGUUUGGUGUUGAUGGGGCGGUAGGGGUCCCUUGGAUGCCAGGGUGAAAAUUACACAGCCUCCUCGGUGGGUUUGGGGAGCCGGCAGACCUCAUCAAGCAGCAGAACAACUCCUCGGAGAUGCAGAGGUUCAACUCGGCUAAUGGACAGAGGAUGGUCCGAAUCCCUGAGAGAGGAUAUUCAUCAGGCCCAUCGCUAACCCAAUCAGCAAUUGUUGCAUUUAAAGAUAUAUUUGGGGAAAUUUUAUGGGAAUAAUGUCAAAUGUGGAAAAUAUUUGUCUUUCCGAAAAAU